GUGCUCAUAAAAAGGAGAACUAGUUUGCAUCUCCCUCUACAUGGAUAGAAUCAACUUCGAGUUUUAUCUGUUACCACACAUCCCUUAAAGGUAUUCCAACUCGGUGGAUGAGCAAACAAUGUUAU